GUCACAGUGCUUCCUGGAAACAGAGCAAAAUGUCCCCGAACUGGCUGCGGGAUCCUUGACCUGAAGGAAAGGUGCUGGUUUGGGCUCAGGACCAUGCUAUUGUGGCAGUGGUGGCAGCGAGGGUGUCUCUGAGUCACGAUGAGCUGGAGGUGGCUAAUGAAUGUCAGCUGGUACAAAAAGGCUGGGCACUUCUCAGCUGCUCCACGGCCUCGUGACUUCUCCUGGUCCACGUCUCAGCCUCAUUGCUCCAAGCCAGUCCAAUGCUUGGGGCGGUCCUUCAGCUCCCUAGGGCUCCCAGCCAUCCUUCAAGAUGCCUCUGGUCUUCUUCUGCCAUCUGCUCUCCUCCAUUCCUGACAUCUCCAGAGCCUCACUCCUCACCCACCAGUACAUCUCGAGGACGUGGUGCUUAGGGACAUGGUUUGUGUCACCAGGACGAUGCCAUUGUCAUGCGGUCAUUGUCACCACAGAAGCUCCUUGCUCCAUCGAGAUGAGGAUGUGGCUCUCGGUGAUGGGAACGCUGGUGGCCUGCCCUUGUUUCAUCCUUUGGCAGCAAGUCCCAGCCAGCAGCAGAUGACACCUGUAGUAGCAUCUUAAGGGAGGAAACGGGUGGCAUACAUGGCCCGGGUUCCUGCACAAGGACUGCCAUUGUUCAGGCCCUGCUGGCAUUGUCUUUACCGCCUGGCCUGGCAUGCUCCCAUGUCCUCAUUUCCCCCGCUCGCUGUGGCUGUAUCAGUCCCUCAACCUCGCCACAUUACAUGAGAGGGAAACCUCAGCUCAUGCCUGCGACCGUAAGCUCGGUUUCCUUCCCGCUGCACUCAUUUCCCAGCAACGGUGACAAGCAGCUUCGAUUUACUGCCUCCGAGGGAGUUUUAGGCUGAAGGCUUUAUGCAAGCCAGAGCGUGGCUGCAGCCAGGGGCAGGACGUGGGUCCCGCAGCCUCCAUCCCUGUGUCACCCUUGGGUGCAGGAUGGCCGUGUGGGUCUUUCCUGGGAACAAACAUCCACAGGGAUGCAAUUUGCUGCUCGUCUCACACUGACCCAGCUAUCGUUAGCUGAUGAUUUUCAAUGGAGGUGCUCGUGCCUAAUGGGAGAUUGCCAAGCUAGGAGUAAUUUAAAAAAAAAAAAAAAAAAAAAAAACUCCUUUCAGCAUGUUAUAAUCAGUCUGAAUUAUUAAAGGCGAUGGAAUUUUUAAAAGUCUAAUUCACUUUUUCAUUAUUUAUGCUGUUUGCUUCAGCUUUAUCCCAUCUUUCGAGAAGGGUGAACUCACCAGAAAGUUUCACUUUCGGGUUGUAAGGCUGCUUGAGACCAAACGCUGUGCAGAGAAGAAGCCCAGGCAGGGGUGGAGGGGGGAAUCCGCUGCAUCUUUUCCCCUUUCCGUGCAUGGCAUUUACAUUUCAGGCCACUUUCAGCACUGCACCUACAGGCUGAGGAAUUUUUGGAGCAGCACAGGGGCAGAUGUGCCCCUGCAGCAGAAAGCCACAUCACGCUUGGUUUCCCAGAGUAUGAGUCAUGCGCUGGCCUUGCCGGCAUCCUGCCUCUCACCAAGCAGGACAGAGGAGGGGCAAAAGGUGUUCAGCUGAGUAUUUCCGAAGAAAGACAAUUUCCAAAGAAGAGAAGAAGAAUGUGUCUUGGCACAGAAGCAGUUGCCACCACCAUGCUGAUAUGUUUCGUAACUCCUGACAUCAUCGUGCUGGAGGUGGCCACCAGCACCAAGAUGUUGUGCUGAGCACCACGGGGGAGAAAGUGCAGCCUCUCCCUCUGCUAACACCUUCUAGGUGGAAUUACCCUUUCUCUCUAAAUAAUAAACACAAGAAUGUAA